rnacentral:lncRNA from 1 species
GCUUGCUGUCAAUAAAUAUGUGGGUAAAUCUCUGUUUGGGGCUCUCAGCUCUGAAGGCUGUGAGACCCGAUUUCCCACUCCACACUCUGUAUUUCUGUGUGAGUGUCUUUAAUUCCUCUGGCGCCGCUGGGUUAGGGUCUCCACGACUGAGCUGAUCUCAGUAUCUACCACAUUCUGCUUUAUUCUCUUCUCUAGGGUAAGAAAAAUCACAAUACAUGGGUAUUCAAUAAAAUUCAAUUAAUUUAAGCCUGACUCUUGAGAAUGUGCAAUUGAAGGUUAUGAAUGUGUCACACCUAAGGUGGUGGUAGAAGUCUCUGGCACAUGGAAAAUGCCUGUUUUAACUUUUAGCUAUUUUUUUCAGGUUUUUGUCAUUAGAAUAUUUCUUCUGUUUCUACUGCAAAUAACUAUCAAAAAGGAAAAGAACAACUAGGAUGGCCUCCCCUGUUUAUCAUUGGCCCUACAAUUUUCUAGGAGUAAUAUCUUUUUGGAAUUAUGUAAUGUCCUCUGCUAAUGACAGUGUAUAGAUGCUAUUACAUUUCCUUGGGGGACAAAGUACUGUUGUCUGGAAGCUUUGAGAUUAAUGUAACACAAAGUAAAUAAGGAAGCGUUUUGCAUAUUCUUAGAUUUUUACAUUUUUAUUUUAAAACAGAGAAUUUCAUAUUGAUUAACACCUACUACUAAACAGAAUGAUGCAUUAAUUAAAUGCCUUGUCCUAACUGUUAUAAGCUCUGUUAGAAAAAUAAACAUCUCACCACAAACUACAGUGUCAGCUCUUUAAUAAAUACAUAAAACAGAAGUUAGUAGUCAAUCAGAGUUAUAUGAACAGGUUCAUAGUAUAUUAUGUGAAAGUAUCAUAUUCUCCAAUAUUCUGUAUCAUUUAAGACAAUUUAAGUUACGUAUAAUUCAAAGCCAGAAAUAAUAAGAAAUAUGUUCAGUGAUAAUUUGCUUCUUUCUUAGAGCUAUUUUAUAUUCAAAUAUUUAAUUUAAAAAUAUAUUCUAUAUUAAAUUUAUUUUUACAAACGCAGUAUUCGUUAGGUGAAACAAAAUAAGUUUUUAUGUUACUGAUAAGUUUAAUACAUUUCUAAUUUUUUUCAGAAGUUCAAGAAACCAUAAUGAAGUAGCUAAUGUAAAAUAGUUUAAAAGCUAUGUUAAAUAUACACAAAAUGAAUUUCUAUAUUAAUAUGUGCAAAUGUAUAUUUUCUUAUAAUUUAGAAUUAAAGUACUUUAUACUCAAUAUUCUUAAUAAAAUUUAUGUACCAUACUUGUCAUUGCGUAGACUUCUUAUCAAAAUUUCACAUUUAUCUGUAGGAAAAUGUAAAGUUGGUAAAAAUUGUUUACACAAAUCACACAUUUUCCAUCCUUGACAAUUGCAGUGUUUUUUUUUUAAAUAUUGCUGUAUUAGACAAUUUUAACUGAAGUAGGUUGUAGAGGCUAGAAGAAACCUGAUUAAUAGAGUUAGCUUACAAAGAUAAAUUUUAUGCAGAAAAGUAUUCCAGGUAGAUAAAAGAGUAGUGUUAUUACUCUCAGGUUUACAUUAACAGCUGCCCAGAUAGCUGAACAAUUAUUUCAUAUAAUUCAAAUAAUUUAAAUAUGCAGUUUUAUAACAGUCGUUACAUAAGCUUGAAGUUAAAGUGAUCAGAGCCAAGGGGGAAAAACCCACAAAUGAUAAAGAAGAAUAAAAAGUAAGAGGACUCUAGAAGAAAGUUGUUUUUCACAGCACUGAUUGUUUUUAUCAUAUUUUUCUCCUAUUCAUUCUUUGAAGGAUUGCAUCUCAUGCAUCCACAAAUUUUAAUGUUGAGUUUUGGAAAAUUGCCUCCAGAGAUAUCUACUGUGUUUAAUCUUAGAUUUUUUUUUUAUUUUAAUAAACCAAAGAUAAACUGAACAUUUAAGACAUAAUCAGAUUUUUAGUGAAUUUUUAAGUCCUCCAGAAAAGUCUAUGACUUAAUAAAUAUUAGCAAGUUUCCAAAAAUAUAACAAAUGUUUAUAAAUACGUGUGCACUGCAGUGCAAUGGUGUCCCCAGAGAAAUAAAAUGCAUAACAAAGCAAAUGUUAUGUUGUAGUGUAUGUAUGGCACAUUUAUAAAUCAUUACAUACUUUAGGGCACAAAAAUGCUGCAGUACUAAAAGUGUUGUUCAAGUUCUCAAUUCUGUUAACAAUUUAAAAUUUCAUUAAUUGUGUUUAAUAUCAAUGAAUCUCAAAAGGCUCCUGUGGCCAUAUUAGUUGAAAAUAGACUCUAUUUGCAUACAUUAUUUAACCUAAGAGUACCCUGUGUUCCCUUACCAUUUAAUUAAUUCUAACUAGUCAAAUAUUAAUUCUCAUCUCACAAAUCAUUACACAGGAAGAUAUCAAUUAUUCAAGUAAAAUACAAGCCCUACAAUCUUUAAAAAUUAGCUUUUUAAGUAAAAACAAAAAAGAUAAGCACAAGACUUUGCAAGCAUAACCACAAUCAUCGUCUAACACUGAGUUGCCUACAAGGAAGUUUGUCCCUUCCUAUGGUAACAGCCUUGGUCCACUAUAAAGUUAGUGCAAACAAGUGAGGGUAUAAAAAAAAUAUAAACUCUGGAUUUUUAAGGAUUUCAUUUUGUUAUACUCUUUUUGGAUAAUUCAUUCCAUACGGAAAUUUGUUUAUUGUUCAUAAAUAUCAUAAUGUUCAUUUCAAAAAUUGUCAUCAUCUUAAUGGCUAUCUUACACUUUUUUCUUUUGGAGGGUUGUCAGGCAUCCAUCCAUUUUCCUUUUUAAGAAGAACGUUAUGUGUAUUAGGCUACUAAACCCAAUUUUUACAUUAUUUUUAGUGAUCAAAGGUUUCUUAUACAAGUGACUCACAGUACUGAAUUAUGUCAAUCUCUCAUUUGAGGAAGGAAAUGCAGUUCAAGUUAGCAUUGAAAGUGCUUGGCUGUAGAGGACAUCUAACAGAGCUGCUGUGUUUAUUGGCUCCAGAACAACUUAUUAUAGGUUUUUCAGUUCUCUUUAGGGUAGAAUAUGAGAUGGGGUUAGUCUUCAUCAAAAUGCAGUAUCUAGUACUUUAACUCAAGUGCUGGAAGACAGCAAAUCUUGGAAGUUUAUUAUAAAAAAAAAGAUAUUUCGGAUAGAUUCCUUUGUUGUCAUGGGCAAAACUGUAUAUCCACACAGGACUGUUAGACUCCUAGCCAAUAAAAUCAGACUAAGUCCAUAGGGAUAAGGUAAGUGUAAAUAAAUUUCCAUUGGGGAAGACAGGGCUCAUGGCCCGUGUAUCAAGGUCUCAAGCUGAGCACUGGAGAACUCCAGGGAACACUGUUCAUACAGGCUAUGGUGCGAAGGAAUUCCCCUGUAGGUAUGCCAUACUUCAGUCUCUUAAGAAGCUGAUUAGCAUGAAAGACUGGAAGCUGAUUAUGGACAAUUCAGUUUGAAUUAUUCCUUUCUAUUUUGCUUUGAACUUUCCUCAUACACUUAAGACAUGAGUAAAUCACAUUGAAAAACAUUUGCCAAUUGAAUAUUUUAAAGAUUCAAGAGGUAGCAUGAUAUUGUGCAAUGAACACUGGCCUGACAAUGAGAAGAUAAAAACUCCUUUCCAAUGUGGCCACUUUAUCACUUGAGUGUUUUCUGAGAAAUCGUUUAAGUUUUCUGAGGCUCAGUUCCCUAACUCACUAAAAAGGAGAAUUAGCAGCCUGGCAUGGUGGCUCAUGCCUGUAAUCCCAACACUCUGGGAGGCCGAGGAGGGUAGAUCACCUGAGGUCAGGAGUUUGAGAUCAACCUGUCCAACAUGGCAAAACCCCGUCUCUACUAAAAAUACAAAAAUUAGCUGGGCACGGUGGUGGAUGCCUGUAAUCCCAGCUACUCAGGAGGCUGAGGCAGGAGAACUGCUUGAACCCGGGAGGCAGAGGUUGCAGUGAACCCUAAUUGCGCCAUUGCACUUCAGCCUGGGUGACAAGAGUGAAACUCCGUCUCAAAAAAAAAAAAAAAAAAAAAAAAAGCUUAUUUCUAAGAUAUCAUCUAUUCUCCAAUUUUGUACUUUUAUGAAUUCUGGCAAGAAGGGUUGGAGUGAUUCUGGGAAAGAACAUCCUUAGGCUGCCUUGAAGGGAGAAGAUAAUAUAGCUUUUCAUUUAAAAAAUGCUGAUAUCUACUUGCAAUCAAAAUCUAAGAAAACAUUCAAAAUGUGGUACUUUGCUUGAGGCAGAAUUUCUAACUAUCUUGUGAAUUAAUGAUAAGAUAAAUGAAAUGGCCAAACAAUCCCUUCAGUUUACCAGGUAAGAGGAUACAAAACUCCACACUUGUGCACAAUGAAGCUAUUCAGGUUUUGAUGAUACUUUACAGUGUCCCCUAUUAACAUUCAGCUUUUAAAACUAGUAUUCUGAUAAAGUGACAUUGUAUUAUUAGUUUUUUAUGGCAGUAGUAACUUAGCACUUAAUUAAUCCAGUCAUCUGUGACAUACAUAAACUUAUCCUGUAAAAAAGA